rnacentral:rRNA from 1 species
UAUUUGAUAUGUAAUGUAUUAUUUCAUAAUUUUAAUCUCUUACAAUGAUUUAUAUCUUUUAAGAAUUAAUUUUAUGGCAAGUAUAUAAAGAGACUAUUAGGCAUAAUAAAAAGGCUGUAUAUUAAAUAAAACUAGGGGUAAAAGCCCAUAGGAUAAAUUUUUAGACAAAAACGGAGUGAAUUGAAGUAUCUUAGUAGCUUUAGGAAAAUAAAUCAAACGAGAUUCUAUUAGUAGUGUGAAUGAAAAUAGAGAAUAGGCUGCAAGUAAAAUGGAGUAAUCUGUUUGAAUAAAGGGGAACCUUCCUCUAAGCCUUAAUAUAAUAUACAAGCGAUAGAGAAUAGUACUGUGAAGGAAAAUAAUAAAAAAUAGUAGUCUUAUAAGCAGCUCAAGGUAAGUUUAAUAAACAUAUGAGAGCGUACCUUUUGUAUAAUGGGUCAGCAAGUUCUAAUUAGAUGCAAGCAAGUAACUAAAGAUAAUAGAGAGAACUUUAACAGAGAAAACUAGCAAUAGGAUUUUACAGUUAGAAGUUUAGUUAUACAAUUUGCCUAGAUAAUCCAAUUAUUCAUUAAUGAAGUAGUAUCUAAAUAGAGACCCGAAGAGUAGUGAUCUUACCAUGGUCAGGCAUAUAAAAGGCCGAAUGGGUUAUCGUUGUAAAGAUAUCCAAAGAACUGUGGUAAGUUAGUGAAAGACAAUCCUGACUACUAUAGCUGGUUUUCCGCGAAACAUAUGUAAGUAUGUGGUUUAAUUACAUCAUAGCAGGUACAGAACUGUGAUCUCGGACAAUUGUGCAUUAUUUUUCUUAGGGGAUCUUAUUACCAUUUUAGGUUUUAUACCCCUUUAGGAUUGUAAUGCCCUGUGCAUAUGGGGGGGUCGUGAAGACUCUAUUCGCGAGGAUUUGCUCUCGGAAGGGCAAUGAUGAAUGUUGAACUAUCAGACAUUUAACGAUAAGGUUGUAUGUCAAAAGGGAAACAGCCCAGAACAAGUGUUUAAGGUUCCAAAGUUUUUGUUAAGUGAAAGUAAGGAAGUAUUUAAACUAUACAACCAGGAAAUAGGCUUAGAAGCGGCCAUUUUUUAAAGACCUCGUAACAGAGCACUGGUUCAAAGGGUUAAUUAGUUAACCUUAUAAGUUAAAAGCGCCGAAGAUAUAACGGAUCUAAAACAAAACACCGACACCUUGUCCAUAAGAAUAAUAGUAGGUUUUACAAGGAUACGACUGAUAAACAGGCGGAGACAAGUAAGCCGAUGUUAAUACACUUACGGUUAGUUAAGUGUUAUUUAUGGGGUAGCGGAACGUUGGGUACAUGAGGUAAGAAACUAAAACUCCACAAGUGGGAGUGGUAGCUAUAAAGAUAUCUGGUUAGGUUUGUAAGCUUAUACAGAUGUGAAGUUAGAGUAGUUAGUUUCAUAACUACAUUUGUAGUUAUUUUGCAUGCGAAUAUGCGAAUUAUCAACAGUAUAUCCCAAGUGAGAAUGCUGACAUGAGUAACGAAAAAGAGUAAUCUCUCGCCUUAAGCUUAUGGGUUAGAAAAAGGAGAAGGAUUCACUGUGAAUAGACUCUACUAGAGGUGACAGCAGAACUUAACUUGGAUUAAAUCGGUCUCUAAAUUUAACCUAAAGGGUAAAAUGAUGAGGUAAAAGAAAAUGUUUUGACAACAUAAACUAGAGUAAAAUGUUCUGGAAAAAAAAACAUAUUUCUGAAGGAAUUAUAUGAAUUCCGAGGGCGAAAAGAGAAGAAAGUAAAGAGAUUCUUACAGAAUUUUUCAUUUUUUUCUUUUAGGGAAUAAACUAAAAAAGAUGAUACUAUAGCUCAUUUUAAAAAACUAACUAUUAAGAAAAAAAAACCGUACCUAAAAACUACCACAAGUAAGCUAGUAGAGAAUACGAAGGCGUUUGAGCUAACAACCAUUAAGGAACUCGGCAAAUUGACACCGUAACUGAGGGAGAAGGUGUGCCAUUCCUACUGAUUAAUAUCAGGAUAGGAAGAGGAGACAUAGAAUGGUGUUGCACGACUGUUUAAUUAAAACACAGCACUUUGCGUAAGAUGUAAAUCAAUGUAUAGAGUGCGCUAUCUGCCCAAUGAUGGCUGGUUAACGGAUUUUCUUAGACGACUAGAAUAGUUUAGGUUUUGAAGGAACCCCCAUUGAAUGGCGGCCUUACCUAUGAGGGUCCUAAGGUAGCGAAAUACCUUGGCAUUUAAAUGAUGUCGCGCAUGAAUGAUCUCACGAUGCAACAGCUGUCUCAAUGGUUGGCUCAGUGAAAUUGGAAUGGCAGUGAAGAUACUGCCUAUCUCUAGAUAGACGAGAAGACCCCAUGCAGCUUUACUGUUACUAGUUAUAGGGUAUAAUAUAACAGGUUUUAGUGAAUAAGGUAGUUGCUAUACAUAAUUGAAACACCUUUACUCUGGUUGUUAUAUCAGUAGAAUAUGUUUACAUUCAUAUUGUUUACGGACAUCUGAAGUAAUCCAGAAAAGGAGAUAAAUCUCAGGAGACAAUGGCUAGCAGAUGGUUUAUGCGGGGCACAGAUCCCAUAAAGAGUACCUGGGAGUAUCCAAAUUUAAUUUUGUAAUAUGCUAUACGCAAAAUACAUAGGGCUUUAGUAAUUGCUUUAUGUAUUUUUAACAUUAAUUAUAUUUAGUUUGUUAUUUUUUAUAUUUACUUUAUAUGUGCAAGCCAGUUGCAUAACAGAAUAAGUUAAGUAUCUAUAAUUAAUUCAGUUAUAUUUCUAUUUGAGUUAGAAUUAAAACAAUUUAAGCUAAGUAAGAUUUUACCUAUGUGGAAAAUAGGUGUAUAUAUGGUAUUAAUCAGUAAGAAUUCCUAAUACUUGUACAUAAAGUAAAAAGGUUUUCAUAAAGAUAAUACUAUCAGUUAUUUUAAAAAAUGAUAUUGAUAUAUACUUCCAAAGUUUAAUGGCUUAAUCUUGCUUUACUGUUUGACAUACACGUCUAUCAGUUGCGUAAGCAGGGCAUAAAGACCGCAAGACGCAGUAAGGAAAGGUCUUGUAUUAUUGAAAAAGCUACGCUGGGGAUAACAGGCUAAUUGCGCCAGAGAGUACAAAUUGAGUGCGCAGUUUGGCACCUCGAUGUCGGCUUAGCUCAUCCACAUGAAUGUAGGAAUCAUGAAGGGUACGACUGUUCGUCGAUUAAAGAGCUACACGAGCUGGGUUAAAUACGUCGUGAGACAGUAUGGUUUCUAUCUUCUAGAGGAAAGUAGAGUAAAAUAAGGAUAGCCCCUUCGUACGAAAGGAGUUGGGUAUGGUAACCUAUGGUUUACCUGUUGUUUAUACGCUGAGAUAUUAAAAAUGGUUGAGAAUGAGAAUAGGUUAUUCUUAGUUAAUGUAGAAAUGGGAAUCUUCUUACUAAGAACAGUAAUACAGAUUAAUUUGUAAAAUAAAUUAAUUUCCUAUGUCAAAUUCAAGACAUCGGGUCUUAACUAGGAAACAAACUAAAACAGAUGAUACUAGUUCCGAUUGGUAAUACUUACUACUCAAGUAUUUAUAAUAAAGGCAUUAUAGUAUAGGCAUGGCAGGAAAGCUAUGUUAGUUAAGAUAAGUGCUGAAUGCAUCUAGGCACGAAGCUUACCUUAGGAUACUCUUAGAAACGUAGUAUAACAUUACGAUCCGCACAUAUGUUAGUUAUAACAUAUUAGACUGUAAUUAUUCCAUGGUAACCGAUUGCAAUGGAUUAUAGGCUUUGGCUG